GACGAACGCUGGCGGCGUGCCUAAUACAUGCAAGUAGAACGCACAGUUUAUACCGUGGCUUGCUACACCAUAGACUGUGAGUUGCGAACGGGUGAGUAACGCGUAGGUAACCUGCCUGGUAGCGGGGGAUAACUAUUGGAAACGAUAGCUAAUACCGCAUAAUAUUAAUUAUUGCAUGAUAAUUAAUUGAAAGGUGCAAUUGCACCACUACCAGAUGGACCUGCGUUGUAUUAGCUAGUAGGUGAGGUAACGGCGCACCUAGGCGACGAUACAUAGCCGACCUGAGAGGGUGAUCGGCCACACUGGGACUGAGACACGGCCCAGACUCCUACGGGAGGCAGCAGUAGGGAAUCUUCGGCAAUGGACGAAAGUCUGACCGAGCAACGCCGCGUGAGUGAAGAAGGUUUUCGGAUCGUAAAGCUCUGUUGUAAGAGAAGAACGGGUGUGAGAGUGGAAAGUUCACACUGUGACGGUAUCUUACCAGAAAGGGGCGGCUAACUACGUG
rnacentral:rRNA from 1 species